rnacentral:rRNA from 1 species
CAGUCGCCGCGGGAAUACAGAGGGUGCGAGCGUUAAUCGGAUUUACUGGGCGUAAAGCGUGCGUAGGCGGCUUCUUAAGUCGGAUGUGAAAUCCCCGAGCUUAACUUGGGAAUUGCAUUCGAUACUGGUUAGCUAGAGUGUGGGAGAGGAUGGUAGAAUUCCAGGUGUAGCGGUGAAAUGCGUAGAGAUCUGGAGGAAUACCGAUGGCGAAGGCAGCCAUCUGGCCUAACACUGACGCUGAGGUACGAAAGCAUGGGGAGCAAACAGGAUUAGAUACCCCCGUAGUCCCUGUCUCUUAUAC